rnacentral:rRNA from 1 species
AGGACGAACGCUGGCGGCGUGCUUAACACAUGCAAGUCGAGCGGUAAGGCCUUUCGGGGUACACGAGCGGCGAACGGGUGAGUAACACGUGGGUGAUCUGCCCUGCACUUCGGGAUAAGCCUGGGAAACUGGGUCUAAUACCGGAUAUGACCUCCUAUCGCAUGGUGGGUGGUGGAAAGAUUUAUCGGUGCAGGAUGGGCCCGCGGCCUAUCAGCUUGUUGGUGGGGUAAUGGCCUACCAAGGCGACGACGGGUAGCCGACCUGAGAGGGUGACCGGCCACACUGGGACUGAGACACGGCCCAGACUCCUACGGGAGGCAGCAGUGGGGAAUAUGCACAAUGGGCGAAAGCCUGAUGCAGCGACGCCGCGUGAGGAUGACGGCUUCGGGUUGUAAACCGUCUUUCAGCAGGACGAAGCGCAAGUGACGGUACCUGACAGAAGAAGCAACCGGCUAACUACGUGCCAGCAGCCGC